UAACAACAGAGUAAUAGCAAGAUGGUAAUAGGAUGAACAACAGUAAACGAAAUCAAGAACAAAUAUUGAAUACUGAAUACUGAAUAGAUAAAGAGAAAUCCGGAUUACAAAAGGUCAAGAACACAGUGUCUGCGGAAUAAAACUUAGAUAAGAACUUGUCCUUGAAAAUGUAAAGUACAUGCUACUUAUAACAAAAUAUUCUGAAACCCUAAUACUCAAAACGACGCAGUAUUGGGACGGAUUAAGAACUGUACUCGACCCAGGUGGUCGUGUGAGAGGUCGAGUGAUAAGCUCGAGUCUUCUUUUUCUUCCUUGUUCUCGAGUGUCUGGUUGAGUGCGGAAUGAAGAAGACUCUGAAGCUGGCAGUCGAGUAUGUAGUCGAGUGAUAAAGAUGAUGGUACUCGGCUUGCUGGUAGAGUAGUGUGAUCGAGUGAAGGUGAAGUGGUGGAGGUGAUGAUACUUGACCAGGGGGUCGAGUGGUGUGAUGAGUGUCUCUCUUGGCGAUACUCGACUUGGGGGUCGGGUGGUGACGUGAAGUGCUGAGGUCUUCUCCUCAACCAAGGGGUCGAGUGGUCUGUUGAAGUCGUGAAGCGUCUACUCGACCAGGGGGGUCGAGUGGUUUGACAUGAUCAGGUCCGCUUCUUCCAGUUAGCUCGUCAACAACUGCAAAUCACCUGAAAUCAACACAAAUAUGCAAUAUGCAUGCAAAACUAUCCUAAACAUGCAAAGUGAUCACAAAUGAUGAGAAAUGAUAUAAAACAGUGAUGAUAUGAUGCUAAAGUGAUGACAAAUGGAUGCUCAAAACAUGCAAAAUACACACUUAUCACAAAGGUUUUAAAAAUCCUUGUAAAUUCUUUUAAAACUCUUGUAAAUCUUUUAAAAU
rnacentral:sRNA from 1 species